AGCGUACACGGUGGAUGCCCUGGCAGUCAGAGGCGAUGAAGGGCGUGCUAAUCUGCGAUAAGCGCCGGUAAGGUGAUAUGAACCGUUAUAACCGGCGAUACCCGAAUGGGGAAACCCAGUGUGACUCGUCACACUAUCAUUAACUGAAUCCAUAGGUUAAUGAGGCGAACCGGGGGAACUGAAACAUCUAAGUACCCCGAGGAAAAGAAAUCAACCGAGAUUCCCCCAGUAGCGGCGAGCGAACGGGGAGGAGCCCAGAGCCUGAAUCAGCAUGUGUGUUAGUGGAAGCGUCUGGAAAGGCGCGCGAUACAGGGUGACAGCCCCGUACACAAAAGCGCAUGUGCUGUGAGCUCGAUGAGUAGGGCGGGACACGUGGUAUCCUGUCUGAAUAUGGGGGGACCAUCCUCCAAGGCUAAAUACUCCUGACUGACCGAUAGUGAACCAGUACCGUGAGGGAAAGGCGAAAAGAACCCCGGCGAGGGGAGUGAAAAAGAACCUGAAACCGUGUACGUACAAGCAGUGGGAGCACAGGUUUACCUGUGUGACUGCGUACCUUUUGUAUAAUGGGUCAGCGACUUAUAUUCUGUAGCAAGGUUAACCGAAUAGGGGAGCCGGAGGGAAACCGAGUCUUAAUUGGGCGUUAAGUUGCAGGGUAUAGACCCGAAACCCGGUGAUCUAGCCAUGGGCAGGUUGAAGGUUGGGUAACACUAACUGGAGGACCGAACCGACUAAUGUUGAAAAAUUAGCGGAUGACCUGUGGCUGGGGGUGAAAGGCCAAUCAAACCGGGAGAUAGCUGGUUCUCCCCGAAAGCUAUUUAGGUAGCGCCUCGUGAAUUCAUCUCCGGGGGUAGAGCACUGUUUCGGCUAGGGGGCCAUCCCGGCUUACCAACCCGAUGCAAACUGCGAAUACCGGAGAAUGUUAUCACGGGAGACACACGGCGGGUGCUAACGUCCGUCGUGAAGAGGGAAACAACCCAGACCGCCAGCUAAGGUCCCAAAGUCAUGGUUAAGUGGGAAACGAUGUGGGAAGGCCCAGACAGCCAGGAUGUUGGCUUAGAAGCAGCCAUCAUUUAAAGAAAGCGUAAUAGCUCACUGGUCGAGUCGGCCUGCGCGGAAGAUGUAACGGGGCUAAACCAUGCACCGAAGCUGCGGCAGCGACACUGUGUGUUGUUGGGUAGGGGAGCGUUCUGUAAGCCUGUGAAGGUGGCCUGUGAGGGUUGCUGGAGGUAUCAGAAGUGCGAAUGCUGACAUAAGUAACGAUAAAGCGGGUGAAAAGCCCGCUCGCCGGAAGACCAAGGGUUCCUGUCCAACGUUAAUCGGGGCAGGGUGAGUCGACCCCUAAGGCGAGGCCGAAAGGCGUAGUCGAUGGGAAACGGGUUAAUAUUCCCGUACUUGGUGUUACUGCGAAGGGGGGACGGAGAAGGCUAUGUUGGCCGGGCGACGGUUGUCCCGGUUUAAGCGUGUAGGUGUGUGUUCCAGGUAAAUCCGGUUCACUUUAACACUGAGGCGUGACGACGAGGCACUACGGUGCUGAAGCAACAAAUGCCCUGCUUCCAGGAAAAGCCUCUAAGCAUCAGGUAACAUCAAAUCGUACCCCAAACCGACACAGGUGGUCAGGUAGAGAAUACCAAGGCGCUUGAGAGAACUCGGGUGAAGGAACUAGGCAAAAUGGUGCCGUAACUUCGGGAGAAGGCACGCUGACACGUAGGUGAAGUGAUUUACUCACGGAGCUGAAGUCAGUCGAAGAUACCAGCUGGCUGCAACUGUUUAUUAAAAACACAGCACUGUGCAAACACGAAAGUGGACGUAUACGGUGUGACGCCUGCCCGGUGCCGGAAGGUUAAUUGAUGGGGUCAGCGCAAGCGAAGCUCCUGAUCGAAGCCCCGGUAAACGGCGGCCGUAACUAUAACGGUCCUAAGGUAGCGAAAUUCCUUGUCGGGUAAGUUCCGACCUGCACGAAUGGCGUAAUGAUGGCCAGGCUGUCUCCACCCGAGACUCAGUGAAAUUGAACUCGCUGUGAAGAUGCAGUGUACCCGCGGCAAGACGGAAAGACCCCGUGAACCUUUACUAUAGCUUGACACUGAACAUUGAGCCUUGAUGUGUAGGAUAGGUGGGAGGCUUUGAAGUGUGGACGCCAGUCUGCAUGGAGCCGACCUUGAAAUACCACCCUUUAAUGUUUGAUGUUCUAACGUGGACCCGUGAUCCGGGUUGCGGACAGUGUCUGGUGGGUAGUUUGACUGGGGCGGUCUCCUCCUAAAGAGUAACGGAGGAGCACGAAGGUUGGCUAAUCCUGGUCGGACAUCAGGAGGUUAGUGCAAUGGCAUAAGCCAGCUUGACUGCGAGCGUGACGGCGCGAGCAGGUGCGAAAGCAGGUCAUAGUGAUCCGGUGGUUCUGAAUGGAAGGGCCAUCGCUCAACGGAUAAAAGGUACUCCGGGGAUAACAGGCUGAUACCGCCCAAGAGUUCAUAUCGACGGCGGUGUUUGGCACCUCGAUGUCGGCUCAUCACAUCCUGGGGCUGAAGUAGGUCCCAAGGGUAUGGCUGUUCCUGCCAUCUGGCGUUGCCCGUGUGGUCAUCGGUUCAACGGCGGUGAAAUCCCCUGACGUGGUGAAAGGCUGGUUUGAACGUUUUUGGCGCGCAGGCGCUGGUGCUGGCGCUGGACGUUCGCAUAGACGAACACGGCACCAAGCAGGUGGCGGUUAGCGGCUGGCAGGAAAAUUCCGGUGUCUCGCUGGAACAACUGGUGGAGACCUAUCUCCCCGUCGGCCUGAAACAUGUACUGUGU
rnacentral:rRNA from 1 species